rnacentral:rRNA from 1 species
UUUAUGGAGAGUUUGAUCCUGGCUCAGGAUGAACGCUGGCGGCGUGCCUAAUACAUGCAAGUCGAGCGAACGGACGAGAAGCUUGCUUCUCUGAUGUUAGCGGCGGACGGGUGAGUAACACGUGGAUAACCUACCUAUAAGACUGGGAUAACUUCGGGAAACCGGAGCUAAUACCGGAUAAUAUUUUGAACCGCAUGGUUCAAAAGUGAAAGACGGUCUUGCUGUCACUUAUAGAUGGAUCCGCGCUGCAUUAGCUAGUUGGUAAGGUAACGGCUUACCAAGGCAACGAUGCAUAGCCGACCUGAGAGGGUGAUCGGCCACACUGGAACUGAGACACGGUCCAGACUCCUACGGGAGGCAGCAGUAGGGAAUCUUCCGCAAUGGGCGAAAGCCUGACGGAGCAACGCCGCGUGAGUGAUGAAGGUCUUCGGAUCGUAAAACUCUGUUAUUAGGGAAGAACAUAUGUGUAAGUAACUGUGCACAUCUUGACGGUACCUAAUCAGAAAGCCACGGCUAACUACGUGCCAGCAGCCGCGGUAAUACGUAGGUGGCAAGCGUUAUCCGGAAUUAUUGGGCGUAAAGCGCGCGUAGGCGGUUUUUUAAGUCUGAUGUGAAAGCCCACGGCUCAACCGUGGAGGGUCAUUGGAAACUGGAAAACUUGAGUGCAGAAGAGGAAAGUGGAAUUCCAUGUGUAGCGGUGAAAUGCGCAGAGAUAUGGAGGAACACCAGUGGCGAAGGCGACUUUCUGGUCUGUAACUGACGCUGAUGUGCGAAAGCGUGGGGAUCAAACAGGAUUAGAUACCCUGGUAGUCCACGCCGUAAA